rnacentral:rRNA from 1 species
CCUACGGGUGGCUGCAGUAGGGAAUCUUCCGCAAUGGACGAAAGUCUGACGGAGCAACGCCGCGUGAGUGAUGAAGGCUUUCGGGUCGUAAAACUCUGUUGUUAGGGAAGAACAAGUGCUAGUUGAAUAAGCUGGCACCUUGACGGUACCUAACCAGAAAGCCACGGCUAACUACGUGCCAGCAGCCGCGGUAAUACGUAGGUGGCAAGCGUUAUCCGGAAUUAUUGGGCGUAAAGCGCGCGCAGGUGGUUUCUUAAGUCUGAUGUGAAAGCCCACGGCUCAACCGUGGAGGGUCAUUGGAAACUGGGAGACUUGAGUGCAGAAGAGGAAAGUGGAAUUCCAUGUGUAGCGGUGAAAUGCGUAGAGAUAUGGAGGAACACCAGUGGCGAAGGCGACUUUCUGGUCUGUAACUGACACUGAGGCGCGAAAGCGUGGGGAGCAAACAGGAUUAGAUACCCUAGUAGUC